rnacentral:rRNA from 1 species
UACGUAGGGUGCGAGCGUUGUCCGGAAUUACUGGGCGUAAAGAGCUCGUAGGUGGUUUGUCGCGUUGUUCGUGAAAUCUCACGGCUUAACUGUGAGCGUGCGGGCGAUACGGGCAGACUGAGUACUGCAGGGGAGACUGGAAUUCCUGGUGUAGCGGUGGAAAUGCGCAGAUAUCAGGAGGAACACCGGUGGCGAAGGCGGGUCUCUGGGCAGUAACUGACGCUGAGGAGCGAAAGCGUGGGUAGCAAACAGG